UUAUUAUGACGAGAUUCCACUUUGUGAAGUCCAUGUUUCUGGAAAACAUGACUUUGUGGAACUUCUGAUUAA
ensembl:snoRNA SNORD18 Small nucleolar RNA SNORD18